rnacentral:lncRNA from 1 species
UCUGGAGAGGUCAUCUUAAGCUGAUUUAGUAGGAGCACAAUGAUGCAGAGAAUAGUGGUUCAGGGGAAACUAUUAUCCUGUUCUAGUAGCGUGUGUUCUGCAGAUACAAUAUAUCAAAUAUUAUUCUACAUUGACAUAUUAGUGUUUGAUGCUUGAUCAUUCACAUAGUACAAGUUGCAAAUUAACUCUCUACAGUCUACAAGGCAGUGAAAAUUGAGAUCCUGCCACAGGUUGGGAAGAGAACAAAAAUUGUAAAAUGUGAUUGUAAUACAGGUUAUAAGAUAAGAUCAUACAAAGUUUACAUAUGUGCAUAUAAAUUCAUUUAUAAGAAUGUAAGAAUAGCAUACAUAAGGGGAUCAACCAUUAACUUAUACCACUACCUAAUUAAACUUAAAUUCAAUAUCUAUAAAAAGGUCAUACACCACUCAUAAGUCAUAAAUUAAUAACUUCAACCAAAGUAGUAACAACUUUUCAACUCCAAAAAAUACAAGACAAAGAACCAAACAGCAGAAAACAAGCAAUAAGAACACCAAACAGAGGAAGCUAACAGAAAACCAAGCAAAUAUAUCUCCAAACACCAAACAAAUCAAGCUCCAGACCAAAAUUCAGUGAACCAGGCCACACCCGCCNNNNNNNNNNNNNNNNNNNNNNNNNNNNNNNNNNAGGAACCAGAGGCAGAAUGAAUAUCACGGCACUAGAGGUGAUUGGAAACACCAGAGCUGUGAAGAUGAUAAACACAUGCAUAGAAGAGGAAUGAUUGAUAAGGUUGGGUUCAAAAUGAAAUAAAUGCUCAAAAUAGGGUCAUAAGGGUGGGUUCAAAGGCCAAUGGACUUAGGCACGGGAAAAGUUCAGUUCAGGGACAAAACUGAAGCUGAACCUGAACCAAAUCGAACUGCUUUUCAGUUCAAUAAAUGUAAACCGGUUGGUUUUUUGAACCAGUUUAGUUUAUAACACCCCAUUUUAAGUAGAAAAAGUUUAAAAAUAAUUUUCUCAAUGCGGAAACCAUUAUUGAAAAUAAACUUUAAAUUCACUAAAAAUUAUUUGAUAGCAUACUUAGCCACUCAAAUAUACUUUACAAUUGAAGCAUUAAACUUAAAAUCAAACUUUGUUAACAUUUUACAAACCAAUACACUUUUGAAAAUGGCACCAUAAACAUAAACAUGAAAUCCUAAAAUCUAUAGACUCAAUUGUGAUCCGGCUUCGACUUGACAUAUUGAAUAUUUAAAAAUGAUACCUGAAAAAAUAAACAUCCCGUGGGGUGAGAUAUAAAAAUCUCAGUGAAUUCCUGGACACGGAAAAACUACCUUACCUCUUUACCUUCAUUACUUGGGAUUCUAACUUAAUUCUAAUUGAACUUAAUUUUAAAGAAAAAUUUGCAACUUAUUUUCUGCAAUCACCAUAUUUUUCUAAGUCUCCGAGUCCGAAUGUGAGAAUAAUCUGAAGGCUUAAACAUAACUGACAAGUAACUUAAGGAAUCGUGACCAAUCCCGUCACCAUAACAUGUCAGUCAACCUCAAAAGUCUUUUGGUAAGACGGAGAUAGAUUAGCUCCGUAAACGGUGCCCAGUUUACCCUCACUUACACAUCCCAUCUUUUAUAAACGGAGAAUCCACUUAGCUAGAGUUGAUCAUAAUAUCCUCACUUUCAUCUAUAUGUACAUACAUAAAUAUAACAUACAUAUACAUAUAUCGUCAACAUUUCGUAUAGGCAACUUCAAUUUAUGGAAAAGACAAGAUACAAGGUACAAUGAAGUUGUGGUGUGCUAAAGAUAUCAAAACAAUACACAGGUUACAAAAAUACAAUAAAGACAGUACAGCAGAAAACCUCAACUUGUAACUUGAUUUUCUCUAUCAAUUAUCAAUGAAAUUUAGUGAAACCAGUGCCUAUCUCGAAGGUAAUUCAGUCUUCUUUCCAAUGACACAGAAAUCAGUUAAAUACAAGCAGUGUACAACCAGAUAUAGCUAAACUACCACAGCAACAUCAGUGCAGAAUUUAAAUCAAUAACUGAAAAUUAGGGUUCAUUUUUCUCACUUAAAACUUAACUAAAUUGAGUCAUUCCAAAGUCCAUUUGAUGUUAAAUUUAGUCAAGAUUCCAAAAUGUUAACAAUCAUUUAAAAAUGAGGUCUAUAGAAAAAGAUGUGAAUAAAAUACCAAAUCUGGGUUGAUACGAAUUUAGGCAAAAUCACUGAAAUUCUUCAUCAAACAUCUCAUGUGCAUAAUAAUACAUUAACAAUGGUGCACAUUUUUCAUGCAUAUGGUUCAGCCAACCAAUCAAAAAUCAAUUUUCUCACUCAAUAUCAUACCCAAAUCAUGAAAACCUAAAUUAUAACCAAAAUCCCCAAAUUUAACUAAACCCUACUCAUGCAUGAGGGACGAGGGAAGGGAACCCACCUUAAUGGAUGAUCUUGAACCCUAGGAGGAGAAGGUGAAGAUGAUAGUGAUGAUCAUGAAUGGUAUUGCUGGCACAAGCUCCCUUCAUCUUCUCUCUUCUUAUUUCUCUUCUUUCUUUUGUUUCUCACGCUCUCUCUAUUUCUUUCUCUAUUCUGAAUUAUUUUCUUCUAAUGUUAAGUGAAAGUUUUAUCUAGUGUGUGGAUUCGGGCUUAAUGGAUGUUAUCUACUAGGUGUACUCCCUAUUCUCCCUUACACCUCUUCUAAAUUUCUUAAUUCAAAGCUUAAGUCAUGCUACUCAAGUGAAACUAAAACCUCGAUCCUAAGGGAUGAACUAAGGUAUUCUAUUCAAUAAUAAUAAUAAUUCCUAAUAAAAAUAUAUAUUGAGCAGAAAAUGUGGGAUGUUACACAGUUCACAGGUUUAUCCCUUAUGUUUAAAGAUUGUGAUCAGUGGCGGAAUUAGGAAAAAAAAAUCAGGUGAACCACUUUAUUUUUCUGCUAAAUUUGGGUGAACCGCAUGUAUAUAUAAGAAAUCAACGACAAUUAAUUAACUAAAUUCAUAUUCAACAACAAACAAGAACGAUCACACACAAUCAACAAAAGCAAGAAAGAAAAAAACAAUCAAGGCCAAGAGCACUACAAACAUGAUGAUCACACUCACAUACUCUCAAUUUUUACAAACAAUGUGUUUGUUUAUAGUUGAUGACAAAAUAAUGUGUUUGUUUCUUGUUUACAAAGAGAAAAUAUUAAAUUAACAAGGCACAGGGUUUGCCACAAUUACAAAAUCCAAGAUAUAAUCCACCCCCUUACACAAACCAAAGAAUACCAUAUAUCAGAGCCCCUCACCCACAACUCACCAUUACGAUUCCACCCCUGAACCUAUACACCAGAAACACAACCCAGCUGCUAACAUUAAGAUACUUUACAUAAAAUUUAUGAUUUUCUUUUACUAUAAAACAACACAAGGGGAACUUGUUAAAUAUUUCAUAGGUAUACUUGAGUUUGUGGAGACUUAGGUUGUAUUUUUUUUUUUGGUAUUAACCCUCUGGUUCCCGGGGAAAGGGGGCCCGGUACUCUAGAGUUCCGCCGCGAGACAAGUAAAGUCUGGUUAAGAAAUUGUUCCCACCAGGAAUCGAACUCGGGUUCUCCCGGACGAUUCGUCCUAGGGUAGCUCACUAACUACUUGAGCCCAAUGUGCAAUCAGCAAUCACUCAUUCAAAACCAACAAUCAGCAAUGUGCAAUCACUCAUUCAAUAAAAAUAAAAAACAAAACUUUCAUUAACAUGAAAGUUAGAGAGAUUGAGAGAGAGAGAGAGAGAGAGAGAGAGAGAGAGAGGUUACCUUUUUAAAAAACAGAGAGCGGUUUCAUCUCAAUCGGUUACCUUUUCUCUGAUUAAGCUUUAAACAGUGUUAUUGUCUUCAUCUCAAUCGGUUUCAACUUUCAACAAUUUUUUUUUUCUUCUUUCAACUCAACUCGGAAGGGCUUUUGAUCAUUGUCAAUAGAGAGCGGUGUGGGUUGAUGGUGGUUUACUACCACUAGUAAUAGCGGCGCACCGGUGGACAGUGCGACAGCAGGAACUUUUCUGGGUUUUUGACGAAAGGAACUUUUAUGGGUUGUUUUGAUUAAAACUGGCCCAAAGGCUGCUGCCUUUCCCGCUAAAAAGUCACUCAAUCC